rnacentral:misc_RNA from 1 species
AAAAAUUUUUUCAAAAGUGUUCACAGUAAAUUUAUUCAAAUUAUUUUUGUAGAUACUGCACCUAAUUUUUCAAAAAGCUAAUUGCUGCUCUUGUAUCUUUCACAUUAUUCAAUUUGUUAGUGCAUUCGUUAGAUAGAGAAGAAUUUUGUAUAUAAAGAUGCUAUUGCUUUUCAAAUAACAAUUAACAUUAUAAUAGAACAUGGCCACUAUUGAUUGAUCAAUAUUGCUCAAUAUUUUAUGUGGAGUAAUUGAUUCACUUAAAUAUUGUGGUGUUCCAUGUUUCUAAUUUCAUGCAUGCAUGUAAUUUAAUGAGUCACAUAUUAGAACAAUUACGUAGCAUUUCGUUGCCAUUUUCCCAAGAAUAAUUUCGAUCGAAAAAUGCCAUGGUUACUUUAUGACUAACAAAUAAUCUUUCUUAGUUUCGUCUACAUGAUGCAGCAUUGUACGCAGUUUUAAACUUAAAUUCAUUGAGAAUAGAUAACACGUAGAGACACAUCAGUUUACAUACUUGUUACAAAGAAGAUUACACUUGAAGAUUACAUAUAAAACAAAUUUGGAAAUCAUAUCUAUAUUAAUACUAAAGUGCAUAUAAUUAAUAAAAUAGGCUGUAGAUUAAGAUACAGAUUGCUAUUUUUCCAUUCAUAAGUUUAUGUUAAUUGUGCUUAAUUUGAAAAUUCAACAAUAUCAAGAGUAAAAUGCGAAAAAAAUGGUGCUUAUUUCGUGCUACGGAAUUUCAAUCUUUAAUGUAUCCAUGCUUCACCAUUUGCCGUAUUUUUGGUAUAUUUCCAUACAAGAUCAACGCAGCGACCUUCGAAUAUUCAAAAAGGCAUUACAUUAUAUCGAGUGUGAUUGUCUGCAUUUGUUGCGUUUUUGUCUUGAUACUCAUUCAUGAUAUUAUCACUUCUAAAUUAAACUUUGGAAACGAAGAAAAUAUUGAUCUCGUAAUGUACUCAACGUUUCAUAGUCUUAUAACAGUUAUUACGCACGUCUUAAGCAGUCCACGAAUGUGUUUACUACAAAAUAUAAUGGAGAUUUCAUCAAAAUUAUCUUCGGAGUCAUAUCAAAAGCUGUCCAGAUUAAUCCACGCUAAAGACAUCUUGGGUAUUAUCUUCGUAACGGUGCUAAUAGGGUCAUUCAUUGAUAGAAUAAAAGUCUAUCAAACGAGUUAUGUUUCUCUGGUUAUCAUAUUCGCGUCGUAUCUCUCGAUGUUAACAUUCCAGCUAAAUAUGUUAUAUGUAAAUUGUGUUUGUGUAUUAAAAGCCUGUUUCAAAAGUAUUAAUGACAAUUUAAUACAAAUGCACAGGCAUAUGAUAAAUGAUAUAAAAUUAUGUGGCGCCUUGUCCAUCUGUUACAUACAGAAAAAUCAAUUUUUGCUAAUAGAACUAAAGAUUCUAAAAAAGAGACAUCUGAUGGUUAGCGACACGGUGCAAAGACUCAACACAAUCUUCAGUUUGCAACUACUUAUUACAAUAGUUAUGAUAACUUUGGAUAUGAGUUUUUCAUUGUAUCUCUUUGCAGUACAUUGGCAAAAUGGAACAAUAUUGAUUAGUUUGGAAAGCGACCUUGUUGAAGUGUGUAUACUGUCUCUUGGUUAUGACAUUAUAAUCAUAACGUUACUUGUAUGGACCUGUGAGACUGGCAAGAAUCAAGCCCAAGAGAUUAGUGCUACCGUUCAUGAUCUACUUAAUAGGACAAAUAAUAAGCAAAUAAAAAAUGAGUUGCAUCUAUUUUCUUUACAAAUACUGCAUCGCAAAAAUAUAUUUUCGAUAAAAGGUCUCAAUGUGAAUGCGGAGCUUCUUGUAACGAUAGUGGGUAAAAUUACUACAUACCUAGUAAUAUUGGUACAAUUCUUACAUAUAUCGCAUUCUUGUGACAGAAAAACGGCAAUCAAUGUUACAUAAUUAAAUUUAAAAAAAUACAUGGAUAAAAAAACGCUUAAAAAAUAUUCUUUCCUUUAUUAUUAUUAUUAUUAUUGUAGUUUAUAAUUUGUGUGUGUGUGUGUGUGUGUGUGUGUGUGUGUGUGUGUAUGUGAUAUAAAUAAAUAUAAUAAGGUAUUCUAAGAUACUUAUUAGCAUCAGUAUAUUUGAAUUGCUUUUCAAUUAUUGAUAUUAUGUAUCCAGCUUUAAUUUAAAAUUAUGUUUUAAAUCCGAAAAAUAUGCAACGUGUAAUUAAUUCACACAAAAACUAUUACUAGACACUAAGAACCAAAAAAGUUCCUUACUUUUACAAUCGAUACUUUUAUCGAUCAAAUUUCUCUUAAUAUCAAAUUUAAGUAAAUAUUUGCUUUAAUCAAAAAUUAAUAUCCAUUACUCUGGUUAAUACUAUUAAUAAAUGUCUAAAAGUAAAUUAAUUUGUUCAGAUAUUGCAAAGUCUUUUUAAUCAUUUUAAUUCAUGUUUGUAUAAUUAAUUCGGUCAUUUCUUAUAAAUGCAAUAACAUUUUAAAACCAAUUUUCAUCUCGAAAGUGAUAAAUGCCAAUCAAAAAAUGUCAUGGUUACUUCAUAGGUAACAAAUAAGUUCUUCAAAUGUAGAUUUCUACCUAAACAUUUUGCAGUUUUAAACUUAAAGUCAUCGAGUGUUGAUAGAAUAUAAAGACAUAUUAAACUUACUUGUGACAAAGAGAUAAACUUGAAGAUUACAUUCAUUUAGAUAAGAAAUUUUUAGAUCUUAUCUUUCUUAAUGCUUAAUCAUAUGUUAAUAUUAUAGGUUAAAGAUCAUGAUAUAUGUUGUUAUUCUCUCAUAAAUUUUUAUUAAUUACGUUUAGUCAAAAAACCUAGAAAUACACCAAAAAUGCAGAAAAAAUGGUGGUGCCACGCUACGAAUUUUCAAUCUUUAAUGUAUCCUUGUUUCAUUUGUUGUCGUAUUCUCGGAAUAUUUCCGUACAAACUCAACGUUUCAAAUUCUCAAGUUCCGAAAUCGCACUACCUUGCAAUCGCCGUAAUCUGCGUUUGCUGUAUCUUUUAUGGAAUAAACAUUCAUUAUGUAAUUUCAAAAUCAAACAUUGGAAUGUUCAUGACUAUUCAUUUAAUGAUUUACUGUAUGCUUUGUACUUUCAUAGUGAUUAUCACACAGAUCUUAAGUUGUCCGAGGAUGUACUUGUUACAAAAAAUAUUAAAAAUCUCUGUAAUAAUACAUCAGAAGUCAUAUCAAAAGCUAUCAAGAUUGAUUCACAUUAAGGACACAUUGUGUAUUAUUUUUAAAAUUAUAGAAAUGUAUAUAUAUUAUCAUAAAAGUCAGCAGAUUAACUAUACUAUGUUGAUAAUCACAACAUACUUCAGCCUAAUAAUACUUCAGAUAAAUAUGCUAUACAUAAAUUGUGUUUGCGUAUUGAAGGCCUGUUUUGAAAGUAUUAAUGACGCUCUAGUACAUAUAAAAAAGCUCGUGGUAAAUGACAAAGAAUUAUGUAUUCCCAGAUUUGUUUACCACGUUAAAAAAAAUCAAUUUUUGUUGAUACAAUUAAAAGUCUUAAAGGAAAAACAUUUGAUGGUUAGCGACGUAGUCCAAAUGUUGAAUAUAAUCUUCAGCCCACAACUCUUUGCUACAGUAGUCAACAUCUCUUCUGCUACAACUUUUGGAUUUUAUUUUAACAUAGUGUACUGGCAAGAUGGAAUAUUGAUUGAUUUUGAUAUGCAGAAUCUUGAUGUAUUUUCAAUAUCCAUAACAUGUAAUAUAAUAAUAAUAAUGCUACUUGUGUGGGCCUGCGAAACGGGUAAGAAUCAGGCCCAAAGAAUCCGUACCACCAUUCACGAUUUGCUCAACAGCGUCAAUGACAAGGAAAUCAAAUACGAAGUAAUAAAGUUGUUAUUUCAUCUAUAUGUUUUUCUCAAAAUGUUCUGUAUUCUAACACAAUAUUUUAAAAUAUGAAAUCACUUGAAGUAUAAAAGUGUUUAAUAUCUUUCCGUUAUUCUGUUUUACGAUGUUACAGUUGCAGCUGUUUUCUUUACAAAUAUUACAUCGUAAAAAUACUUUUUCAAUGAAAGGUUUUAAUAUUGAUGCAGCACUUCUUGCAACAAUGGCAAGUAAUAUUUCAACGUUUCUAGUAAUACUAGUACAAUUCUUAAACAUAUCACAUUCUUGUGAUAAAAAAACAACAAUUAAUGUUACAUAAUCUAAUUAAAUAAGGUAAAUAUUUAUAUACAAAAAUACAUUUUUAAAUAAUAAAACUCCCUUUUAUCCCAUUGAUAAUAAUAUGUAACCAUGUUAUUUAUUACGAUAUCUUAUAUUCGUACAAAGGCACUUUUACAUAUUUAAAAACGUACAACAAAAACUUGUAGGUAUAUACAAAUGUAUGUAUAUUAAUAAUUAUAUAAUAUUUAAAUGUAUUGUAGGAUUAUCCUGACACAACUCUGUUUGGAUGGUUCGCAUAUCAAGGCAGGAUGAGCCUCUGAAUAAUAAAUUAAUUCGAAAUUUUAUUCGUUAGUUUGUUCGAAUAUUUAUUUACCGGUUAAUCUUAACAAUCAAAGCAAACCAAUGCAGAUAAUAAUUGGAAAAUUAACAUAAAAUUAUUAUUAAGCAUCAAGUUAUUAUACAAAAGCUAAAAAAUAUAUGUAUGUGUAUUAAAAAA